rnacentral:sRNA from 1 species
UGAUUAUUGGAGGUGUGGGUGGGGAUGGGAAGUGGUAUGUGUGUCACAAAGGGUUCCAGAUGGGUGUGUUAAGAUCCCAACUGUUGAGAGGCUUGCAACCUAGUCUCUCAAAUACGCAAAUGACAGCAGCUGUACAUAAUAGAUCCCAGCAGAGCACACCUGAAUGCAUCCCUAGGCUGCAGUGACAAGGGUCAUUGAGCUAGGAGUCCUAGCAUCAGCCACAUCUUGCUAUUGUUGGGAAGAUCCUCGGCCAAUCUCCAUGAAGCCAAUAAUUGGCCUGUUUACCUCUGUGAUCCCCUUACCCAAAAGACCUUCGACUUCCACACCCUGCAUCUUUGCUCAACGACAGCUCAACUUGACAACUAGGACCUGGCUUCUAGCGGAAGACAUGACUACAAAAUUGGAAGCCCACUGCUCAGUGUGGCUAGGCCUGUGGCCUUACCAUCCGCGUGCUGACGGCAUUCUCAGUGAGGGCAGAGACAAAUAAAUGGUACAAGGAGAGAGCAAUGAAGGCGUAGGGCGUAGGGAGGGCUCUUUGCUGAGGGUGUGCAAAGCCUAAGUCCCUGAUCCACUGGGUCAGAUAUGAGAACAAAAGAGCUUUUAUCUGAGGGAAAGUGUUCCCAGAAAAAUACUCUGAGCUAGAAAAUUCCUGUCAUCCUCGCUCAUUUAUUUUGUACAAGGACUCAAAAAUAAAAAAAAAAAUCUUUCCUUUUCCGGUGGAACUCUGACAUAAAGGAGAGCCUGUAUAUGGUGGCGGCGGUGACUGAGCACAGCCUCCCAGGCUGCUUCUUUCUUGAUGUUGAACCACAUCACCCAUUAAUACCCAAAUGCUGGCAAUCCCACCAAGGCCGCCAUUCCACUGCCUUUCGGGGUCAAGCUUGCCUCCAUGUAUGUGCUACUAAAACACAAAGCUCCUUUCUCAGCAACAGAAACUCCAUUUAUCAGUUAGGAGGCUUUGGGUUGUAAGCCCCAAAAUACCCAACCAGGAAUGAACUGAAGCACAAAUGAAUUCUCUCAAGCUUAGGGCUAAGUCUGGAGCAGACAGUAGUUAAUAACUGUGUCAGUUGAAGUCAACCCAGUGACUUCAGCUGAGCAUAGGUUUCCCCUGUUCUUCCCAUCUGUCCUCACGAGGUCACAAGAUGGCGGCCAUAAUUCCAAGACCUCACGGAAGACCCCCAAAGUGGAAGUGAGCCCCGAAAGCAGAUGAGGAUUGCCUCCUGCCUCUAUCCAUGCUGCACUCAGAGCACCAACUCACAGCAUCUUGAAGUAGGAGUUUCGUCAUUGUUCUUUCAGUUACUGUCUGGGUAGCUGCAAGCCAGAUGUGUUUCCUUUCCUUCCUAAGUCGCUGAGGAGGACCUUGAACUUCUGAUCUUCCCCCCCUGAAAGCUCAGAUUGUAGGUCUGUCCAUGGGCUCUUCGAGGCUGUACCAAGCAGAUGAUGGUGGUCACAGCAGCAUUUCCGGACAUCUGGUGCUCAAUUUGCCCAGGUCAACCUUCUUACAAGAGCAUAUGGCCUGACGUUAUUGACAUGACACGGCUCCAGUUCUCUUCCUGAAUUUCAGACCAUUUUUGCUAAUUUAAAACCCAACAGAUAGCCAAGCAGCAUGGUGGCCCUGGCCCCUCCUCUUCCUACAGUCAGUUCCUGGUACUAACAGAGUGACCCAAAAAGGAGAGUUGGGAACUCCAGGACCCUGGAAACCCUACUAUGGUUUUCUGUGAAAUGACAUUUGCCCAGAACCAACCAGAAGCCCAGUUGGGACACCCCAGUCUUAGACAAUCUCAGUGAAAGGAGGGUUCACACCACUCACCCCUGAAAGGAGCCACUGUGGCCAAGAACCACUUCUGUGGAGGUCGUCUCCUUCCUCUGUGAACCGCUGUGGAAUGCUGGAGGCAAUCCCAGACACUGUGACCAGACAAUGGGAAAGUAGAGAAGAAAGGACCUCCAGUGUAGCCACAUGGAGACUGCCAAAUUCUAUCACCCUGGAACUUCUUGCCAUGUUGCUGGAGAUCACCCUGUUCUAACAGGGGCCAUCUUGACUGUGAGGGAGUACCACAGUCCUUCAUGAUAGACACAUGAAUGGAGUACGAAUCAAGGAGAAGCAGAAAAGUUGAACCAUUGAGAGUUGACAUCAGGAGGAGGAGAGAGGAGGACUGGACCAGGGAAAGGAGGGAAGAAAGGACCAGUGCCCAGCUAAUAGGUGGCGCCAUGAGAAGAUCCUCCCUUUGACAAUGACCACAAGAGCUACGUGAAACAUUUUCAAAACCUGCAGACAUCGUAGGCCAUAUUCCCCCCAGAAAUGACUACCAGCUCCGUUAGAGAAGCUUCAAGGCUCUGCACUUGACAAAACAGAAAUCUGUAGGCAAGUGAGUAAUGGUGGGUCUCAAGGGGACCAGAAGAAUGUCCCCAGGAAGAACAGAAGUGCAGGGGAUGAGGUGUCACAGCUGAGGGAGAGAGAACUCUCACUACCCACUAUUUCAGAAAAGAUCGGCUACCCUAAACCCAGUAGACUAGUACCCCACAGUUGCCCAAGCAGUCCCCGUUCUACCCGAACCAGUGCCUUGAGCCACCACCCAGACCCUCUGCCAUGACUCGACUUUCUGCCUCGAGCUUGUGUCUUCUCCUCUACCCUCUGCCCAGCCGGGAAUGGGAUCCUAUCCCAGCUGCCCUGAGUCGCAGAACAAAAUCCAUUCUCUUCAGCCUUAACGCGAAUGGCAUGUUCGUGUUUCACCAGGCACAUGCUGCCAACAUGCCACUUUUUUACUCAGGUUCGAUCACGGGAAGCAAGAGCAGAGGAUGAAAUGAGGGAGGCAGGAAGCCAGGAGAGUCAACACCAGCAUGGGAGACCAAACAGGCCCUUAAUGAAGAGCAUGAUGCCACCCACAUGCAGAAGGCUGUGUGUAACUUAUCCAUCCAAAUGCUGAUCUCUUCCAGAAACACCCGCCCGGAUACACCUAAGAAUCAUAUGUCACCCACCAUCCAAAUGUCCCUCAGCCCAGGCAGGUUGAUACACAGAGCUAGCCAUUACAAUAUUCCUGAGGUAUAGCCUUUGCCUUUGUGGGGUAAAUUCUCUGGAAACGGGAACACAGGGGACUCCUGGAGGACCCUCUAGGCUAGGCCCAAAUGUCAGUGCUGGUGUUGGAUAAAGGAUGAAAAAGCCAGCAGGCCUGGGGUCCUUGGGCAAUGGUCUGGCUAGGUUUCUCUCCAUGCUUCUUGGUCUUCGGUCUCAAAGGAUUAUAAGGUGCUGGCAGUGAGGGCUGGACGAGCCGUUGAGGAUGAACAUUUGGGUGUAUAUCAAUCACACUGAGCCGAGUAAUUAUGGGAAUCAGGAAACUAGUGGCUUGGAUAGACAGAAACACCUUUUCUAGUCCAGCUUAUACUACAGGCCAGCUGGGGCCUGGACUUCCAAGAUUAAAUCUCGAACUUUUAAAAGACUUGUUUUUAUGUACGCUUAUGUGCCUGCUUCUCUGUUUGUAUACUGUGUGCGCAUAGGUGCACCUCUGUUCCCCAAGCUCCCACAGGAGCUUACGUUUUAAUUAGACCCAAGAGCUUUUUCAAGGGGUUGAAUAAGGAGGAGCAGGUAAUUUAGUCAAAUGAGCCUUGGGAGGCAGAGAUAAUGUGGAGGCUUGGAAUUAGAACCACACUGACGCCCCGGGGUUCUGAGCUGCUGUUUCUCACCAUGUAGAUGGGGUCCCAAAUUCCUCAGUCACCGGGGAUGAGAUUUGACACACAGAAAGUAUGUGAUUGGUCCUUGUGUCCUUUUAAGUAUAAGUUGGUAUACUAGUCGGGGGCCUCCAGAGGAGCAGCAGUAAGACCUGGAUUCCUGGAGAGCCACUGGUCUUCAGUCCACGUUGGAAAGUCACAGAAUCUGGAUUCUGACAGGAGUGAAGGACCCCGGCAACAAUAUAUGCUCACCGGAAAGAAGCCAGUUCUACACACCCGACCUGUUUGUCACUGGAAGAGGCUGCCCAUUCGGAACUCUCCCUUGAUCCUUUCUGAGAAUACGCUCAUGAACCCAACCAGACAUGUCUCUUUGUUGCUCUGAGGUCCAACUUAAAAAGGGUCAGGGGAGUUUGUGCUAAUCCAGACCACAGGACUGGCCCCUUUAAAGAUGGAGAGAUGGGGCUGGCUGAAAGGAGGUGGUCAUAUAAAACAUUUAACCCAGAGUCCUCCAGGUUCUCCUGCUUCAGGGGCUCCUCCCAUAAUCCCAAUGGAAGCUGCCCCACUGUUUAAAUAAAGUUCAUCAUUUCUGUACUUUCUCCUCUCUGGGACUUCUGUGUGUCCCUUGUCUGUGCCUCCCUUCUUUCUGCCUGUCAGCCCACUGUCCUGUGGAUCCCACCCCUGCAUCCUCUGCCUCAGUGACCAGCCUUUCCCCUCCUGUCACACUUGCUUUUUCUAUGAGGAGCUUCAUUCCCAGAGAUGCAAUUCUUUGUCCAUCACGGGCCUAAACUUGGUGGCUCCCCUAGAGGGCCAUCCUUCACCCAAGAUACCCGAAGCACAAUCAAGUUGACAAUUAAAAUGAGCCGUCAAGGGAUAAAACAAUAAUUAAUUAUCUGACUGGGCUGGGAGCCUUACACUCACCUCUAAAUCUGCAAAUUGUUGUAAAAUAUAUUUCUGUGAUGCCAGUUGGGAUGAAGGGAGGAGCGUGAUGCUUUCCCGGGUCUUUUCUAUUCAAAAGUCGGUUUGCAAACCACUCCAACCAGUGGCAUUAGCAUCACCUGGGAGCUUAAAACUGCAGCUCCUUCGGCCCCACCUGGCCCUACUGAACCAAAUUUACAUUGGAGCAAGAACUCCAGAAGGUUCAUAUGCACUUUGCCUUCCAGUCUUGGGUGGGAGUCAUCUAAGUCAUUUUAAAGGCACCAGAGCCUGGGCUCACCCAGAGAGGUAGCAGUUUUCUUGGUCUGGAAUGAAGCCUGGACAUCUGAGUAGUUUUUCAAGCUCCCCAGCAAUUCUGACAUGUGUCAGGGAUUGAGAAGUUUCUCCCCUUAACAUAUCCCAGGUAUCAUGGCACCUGGCAAAGGCAAGCUAGGGGAAGUGAGGUGUAUUCCCAGGUUAUCCCAUGCAGGCCCUCCUGGCCAGCAAAAGCCAGUCUUGGCAUUCCUGAGGGUAGCCCAGGACUGAAAAGGAAGAAGACUGUCCGAGAAUUCUGAGCUCUAACCUGGGCUCUGCCUCACCAACUGCCUGUAUGUCCCUCAAACCAGGCCAUGCUGGCCAAACAGGGCUAAGCUCUCUGUCCUAUCUAAAUCUUUGCUUGCAAAGUAGCCUGGUGGUUUUCCUCCAACCAUGACAUCUUAAUGCUUCCCCACCCACUCUGCCCUUUCCUGUCUCAUGGUGCUGAAGAAGUGGCAGUUUAUACCAGCUGUGCUCCUGAAGGUCAUAGAGGGCCUGGUUCCUUCCCCUGUGGAGGCCAUUCUCAGACAGAGGGACAAGAAUCAUCCCAGCAGUGCCCCCCUUGGCGGUGCCAUUGACUAGAUGCCGAGGAACCUUGGGUAUAGCAUUCUUUAUCUGUCCCUUGUGGUAGUUUCACGGUGAAUGGAUGGUGACUGUGAUAGUCAGUCAGGAACCAAAGGCUUUAUGUAAAUUAUACUUCAAUUAUAAAGAGUGAGUGGAGCUCAACGGGCCCCCAGGGAAAGAUGAGUCUUCCGUGCAGUUGCAGGGGACUUAGGCAAACUUGAGCAUUAAAGCCAAGUUGAGAGGAGGGAAUGUGAGAGCCCGAGAGAGACCGAGACAAGUGUGGACAGAAAUGAAGAGACACCUGGAGAAGCAAAAAUUUCCCUCCAGUUCUAGCCAACCAAAUGAGUCCUAGGCAAAAGAUGGGUUUGGCUUCCAAGUAGAGUGAGAGCCAUACUGGCCUGCUCUGGGACUAUCCGCACUUCAUCGGCGAAAGUUCUGUGUCUCAGGGAGCCUCUCAGACCAAGAUAAAUGGGUUACCAGUUCAUCGCCCUAUUCCCAAGUCUGGGGCUGUGGGUGGCGUUUAGACAGGGCUGUGCAGCAGAUAAACUGACUCAGCCCAGAAAGGGAACUCCCAACACACCAAAGGAGCCACCGCACCAGAUACCAACUUGUCAAACCAAUGCUUUUGUUGUUGUUGUUGGGAUUACCAACAGAGUAUGCAUGCAGGGUUACUUACAGGAGCAGAAAUGACUCAAAAGCAGCAGCACCACCAAAACCCCCAGCCCAUCACAGGAGACAACUCACAAAGGCUCUCUGUACAACUCAGAAGCAUCUCUACAGGUCUGGGAGUCUCCUCUCCACAGUGCUGCUGCCCAGCUGGUCGGCAUCUCUUUUCCCAGCAGUCAAUUGCUCCUUCUAUAAAGCUGGGGAGAGGGCUCAAAUCUUGCAUGUUUUAUUUGCCUCCUGUGAUGGUUUGUAUAUGUU